rnacentral:lncRNA from 1 species
AAGCAGCUCCAAAGAACUAACACAGUGGCCGAGUAAGACAUGGAGCCUCGACCCCUGUCUUCCAUUCACCACUCUGUGCUCCACAGCCUCUGACUGAUCUCAACCUACUCAAACACACUCCAAGGCAUGGAGAAAAACAGAGAAGCCAACCUUUCCCGGGAUGAAGGCAAGAACAGGAGUGCUAACUCUAAUCUCUGCCUCAGGGUAACCCUUAAAGUCAGCAGAGUUUCUCUGGGUACACAAACCCUCCCUGCCCUGACUGCAAGUUUCUAACCCACAGGGAGUUGAAAAUAUUUCUGCUACUCAAGACUUAAAUGCAGCCCUUCUGGCAUUAGGGGCUAAGGAUAAUGACCGUGUUCUCCCCAGACUCUUUCUCUUACGGUUGUUGGAGAGAAGGCCAUGAGAUAAAUUACCUAAAGCUGCUGGUGCAGGCACUCAGGAAAUAUUCAUACCCUCCUUCCCUUUCUCCUCCAAUCCCCCUGCAGCCCACAUCAUGACAGGCCUCAUUGCCGACCAAUGUUCCUUGUCUACUCAAAUGUCCCAAGUCAUCUUUCUUGACAGAAUGUCGCCAUGAAGGAAAAAAAGCUAAAGACUGGAAAUAGUGAUAAAUUACUUGUUGUUUUGGAGGUUUUCUACCCUUCAGAC